rnacentral:misc_RNA from 1 species
CAUCACGUCGCUGUUUAACUUAGUAGUAAACAUGUUUUUAGGAAUACCGUGCUACUAACUCAGUAACUGGUAGUACAACAUUACGAGGUGGUCGAUGUCAUUGUGUAUUUUUAUUUUAAUAGUAGAUUAGCGACGUGUUCUGGUUCGGGAAGAUAAAUACUAUCAAGAUGUGGUGUGUAGGUUACCUUGUGAAUUAUUUACGGUACAUGGUGUAAAUUGAAAUCACGUGUACUGAUUACUGUGGCACUGGCAGUGGAAGAUUUCCUUUUUAGUAGUUUAAACAUUGUUUAAUUAACUAAACUUUAAACUUCAAUUGAAUUUGAACUUUGACUUGUAAGUUUUAGAGAGUACAUAAUUAAUAGAUUGUACUAGUGCUAUAUAUGUAGUGACUACUACUAGUACUAGAUGAAACUGUUGACAGUGUUGUUACUGUUACUAGUGUGAAUACUGUGUAACGAAGUGUGUUUGUGCACAUCGAGGUUCGACGUUGGCAUUAAAAGACAAACAUCGUUAUUUAGAAGUCAGACCGUACUUUGAAGUUUGUGAUAAUUAUUAUAGCAGGAAACACGCACACACACACAUUAGGUGUAUAGAGUACAACAACAGUUGAGAACAUUCUCUGAAAAUAUGCCGGUCGAAGGAGGGGAGACGAAUAAAGACAACAGACCUCCUGUUCAUCUUGGUCACAACUAUGUUGAAAGUGUAGCUACUUCACUGGUCCGAGAAUUUCUGGCUCGAAAGAGUUUGAGUUCAACCUUAGAAGUGAUGGACCAAGAACUACCUCGUGACUCUGAAAGUAUCUCCAAUCGUGCAGUUUUAAUUCAUGAGCUACAUCUUGAGAAACUUGUGUUUAAGAACAAGAGCUGUUCAUCAUCCUUCAGAACAUUGAUAGAACUCAUUACAAAAGAAUUGUUAGAGAAAGCCUUCAAGCAUAAAACUUCCUCUAAAAUAAUGGCUGAUAAGUUAUCUCCAUCUCAUUUAGUCAAUGGUUUUAACUCAAGAACUGUUAGUGUUGACACGGGAGAAAUAAAUGAUGUUCCAUUUGCAAAACCAAAGACUUCUAAGAAAGAAAAAGAGGUUGAUAGCAAGAAACCAAAUGGAAAUCAUGCAACAAGAGUUGAUGAUUGUGGCAAACAUAACUGUCUAGAUGAUAACAAAACAAGAAAUAUGUGGAGAAACCAUAAUGGGACUAUUUCUCGACUAGAUCAAACAGCAAGAGAGAGAUAUCAUUCUUCAGUUGUUGAUGUUUCAGUUGAAAAUGUCUUAAAUGACGAUGAUCCUAUUGAUAUUUAUGAUUGUGGCCAUUCCCGUGUUGAGGAAUGGUUAAGCAUCAGUAGUGGAAACAAUGUAGAUCACAAUCAGAUAGAUGUAGUUGAGACCGUUGUAAAACCAUCUACUCUUCCUCGUACAUCAGGACAAAAAGUUUUGUCAUCUUCAAAGAAAUUAGACUGUGGUCCUGUUGUUAGUAGCACUGACCAUAUGUUGUCGAAAAGGUUGUCAGGCAAUGAUAUUGGAAUACCACGACCACACCUGCUUCCAUCAUUUAAAUUGGACUCCCAAGAGGAAAUUGAAAUAAAACCUAUAGUUUCUUCUUCUUCUACUUUUGUUAAGUUUGAGCAACCAUCUGAAGAUCUCAUUCUUCACAAAUCUAAUAAAGAAAGACUAAGGAAACACAGAAUUCCUUCUACUUCAACUGAGCAUGAUAAGGUGAUUCAAGAGCUCAGACAGAGGGUGGGUGACUUAGAAGUGCAAGAUCUUAGUGACACAGAAAUGGAAGAAGUGUUUGUUGCUCCAGUCAGUACAGUAGUAAAAAAGUCACCACAUACCAGGACAUUUAGGUCGAUUACAUUAUCUGAAGCCAUGAACUUGAAAAAGAUUAUUUUAGGGUCUCCAUUCCGAAACUUUAACUUAGAGUGGCAGCACCAGAAUUUUACUUUUUGCAACUAUCAAGAUGUGAUGUAUGGACUCGUGCAAAAGAAGGGUGGUCCAUGUGGAGUUGUGGCUGCAGUUCAAGCUUAUGUUAUUCUUCAUCUAGUGUUUGGUGAUAAACCAUCAUGCUUAAAAGAUGGAAGAUUACGACCAAGCAGACGUGAGAGGAAUCGUGCAUUAGCCUUGGCCAUAGCUUCAAUAUUAUGGAAAGCUGGAGAAAAAAAAAGAGCUGUUGUUGCUGUAUUGUCAGGGAGAACAGUUUUAGAUACUUGUGGAAAACUGAAAACCGAUGGAAUUAUAGAGAAGCUACUACUGAAGAGUUUUGAUUAUUAUGAAGAUUUGGUAAACUACCUUUGUGGGCGAACAGAAGAUCUGCAGUCUGACAAUUCAAGUAGUUGUAUCACUUUCCUAUACUCUGCCAUUUUAUCCCGAGGCAUUGACAGAGUUCUGAAAGACAUGGAUGAUCCACACUCCACAUUAAUUGGAAGACAUGGGUAUUGUACACAGGAGAUGGUAAACUUGUUUCUUAUUGGAAAGGCUGUGUCCAAUGUUUUUGAUGGAAUGGUGGAACUGGGCACAGCUGAUAAGGAUAAAACAAUCCUUCAUGGGAUUCCAGAAACAAGUGACAUAGGUUUUCUCUCCCUGUUUGAACAUUAUCAGUCUUGUGAGGAUCUCACUACAAGAACCCUCUAAAUCCUAUCUGGAUUGUUCUCAGUGAAAGCCACUUUUCUGUACUUUUUGCCACUUACAAAGGGGCACUUUCGGUAGACUUGGAAGGUUUCCUCUUUGACUUGUUUUACUAUGAUGGACUGGCUAGACAGGAUGAAGAAAUUUGUUUAACAAUAGAUCCAAAGGGAAAUGUAGUUCACGAACCGGAUGAUGUGGACUUGGUGCCUCCAUUAGAACUAUGUAUACAAACCAGGUGGAAAGGAGCUGCUGUAGACUGGAACAACACAGAACCAAUCUUGUAACUAAGACCACCUAUUCGUGGGUCACAGAAUUACCAUUAAGAAUUCACAUUUCACAUUGUGUGGUUCAGAGUUGCUGUUGAGAAUUAAAUGUUGUCCAAUGUACUUAAUUAAUAUAUUCAAAAGCAAAUACUUUUUAACCCUCUAAUGACCUGCAUAUAAAAUUUUUAAAUUUAAGGUUCCCUUGGUGGUUCACAGUAAGUUGGAGAGUUUAUAAUGCUAAAAAAGUGGGUUUAGAUACCUGCAGUGAGAAAAGCACAGAUAGCUCAUUGUGUAACUUUGUGCUUAACAAAAACAAGUCAAAUCAAAAUUUAAGUAGAAGUAGUGAUUCUAAGUUUGAUUCAAUAACUUUUAACUCAAAAAUAUGUUAGAGGUGAUGUUUUAUCAUAUACAUUUAGUGUAAUUUGCAAAGAAAGAAAAAAGAGAUGUUCCAUUUCUAUGCAACAUUAAGGCAUUUAUCAAUUUUUUAUUUUUCUGCCCUUCCCAAAGUACAAGUUUAUAUUUGCUAAAAAAAUGAUCUUCACUUAAUACUAUAGUUAUCCAUUAUCUUUUUUUCUAACCUGAAUUUUCUUUCUCUGUUAGUGGUUUUACUACUAUAGCCCUUUAUUCCCACCAUUUUAUGAUGUCACAGAAUUAAAUGUGGUCUGAACAAUUUCUAAUGAAAUACGUCCUUAAAAAUAUCUAUAGGCAACACUUACAUAUGAUCGGAUAGAGCAGAUUAUAAAAUAUUUACACCAGUGUAGAGUAGAUGAAGUGGUUUUUUAAGAGUUAAUAGUUCCUUGAUAAAGUGACUAACUGGAGCUUCUGUAGAAGUUGAACAAGGGUGUUCAGUGGGAAGUUUAGAAGAAUUCAGAACAAACCACAGAUCUGGGAAUUUUCUACUUUUUUUUCUUUACAUUCUUGUUAUUUCUUAAAAUGGUUAAUUAUACCUCUAUGAAAGCUUCAGACAUUUUCUUCCGUGAGAAGAUAUCUGGUAAGCUAGUUAGGUUUAAUGAGUACAGUAGGCAAUGGCAAAGUAUUCUGAUGAUUCAAAUCCUUAUUUAUUAAAUAUUAUUGUUAGAUUUAUCAAAUUUGAACAACACACCCAAAUAAAAGAAUUUAUUAUUGAUUGAAAGAAACUAUUUAUUACAUAAAAAUUGAUCCCAACGAAGAAUAUUGUUAGCAAAAAUCAUGGUAUCUGACUUGACAAAAGUAAUGGUGAUACUAUUUUUGAAAAGUCAGAUCUUCAGUGAUGGAUAGGUUUUUGUCAGUAUUUGCCAUGUUUUUAUGAUUUAUAGCCUGAAGUGCUGAUGACUGCAAUUGACAAAGUAUAAAAAAUGUUAAUGAAUAUCAAUCAAGUUGAAACUGACUAGAUAUAUAAAGUGAAACCUCCUUAACAACAAUAUUAAAAAUUUAAAUUCUAAGAUAAAAGGAAGUAUUUGUGAUACUUUUCAAAAUAAUGCUUCACAAUAAAAUUUUAAUGAUAGUCAUGUUUAUUCAAAAUAUAAGAAUUGUUAAUUUCUAAAACUAGACACUAUUUAGAAAGAUUAUAAAAAAUAUCAUGCAAUAUGGUUAAGAAUUUCUUUGUGAGGAGGAAAACAAUCAAGGGUUAUCAGUGUCACCCCUCCAGUCCAGAAAAGUGGGGCACAUGUAGUUAACUUUAAUUACUAUAGGAUGUUCAAGUAGAAAUCAAUAAAAGUGUUUUAUUAUAACCAAAGAACAAUAAAAACAUUAUCGUUUUGUUAUGAAAAAUACAUGUACCAUAAAAAUUUGUAGUGAACCACUAUUUAAAGAAAAAAAUUAUGCUAACUAAUUCUACAACUCUUAACCUAAUUGCAAAACAUUAUUACACUCUAGAACUAAAAGUUCACAAUUUUUAGAAGGUAACAAGUUGUAAAUAAACUUGGCUGCGUCUGAAUAUUAGAUGUUGCAAACAUGUAUGUUUUCAUCUAGAUCAUUUUUAUAUUUUAUAUAUUUCCAUCACCUUUCACUAUUUAUUGUUUUUAAGAUGCAUUAGAGCAAUAGUAUCUUGUAUUUUUCUCUAUAUGUAACUUUAUUGAGAAGUAGGAUGUUUUGCUAAUUUUAAAUUUCAACUAUAGCAUGAACAGUUUUCAAAGCUUACUGAGUUUGAAUUUCAGUAUUCAGUCAAAAGGAUGAUGAUUGAACUUAAUUAAAAGUAAAGAAACUGUAAUCAUUGUGUGUUAUACUAAGGAAAGAUGAUACAGUUUUUAAUACAAAAAUUCUAAAUGGCAACAUUGCUUGUUGUACAGUAAUAUUUUUAUAAUGUACAGAUGGGUUUGUAACUAAACUAAUGAAAUGUGCAUGUAAAACUUUUGACUUAAACCAAUAGUUGCAGUAGUAUGUUGAGACUUUAUAGAGCGGCACUUCUCCAAAAUUAUGUGCACAAGAUACACUGAUGCCAGUCAGAUGGUUAGGUUCUACUAGCAUAAAGUUAGUUGCUUGUAGGGGUAAAAAAUACUCAGAACUUCUUACUUUCAUCCACCUUCAUGAAACAAAUUGGGGUGUAGAAUCUUGAAGACAAGAAGAGGAGAACAAAAAUUAAAGCACAAGAUUAAGAAUCUUCAAAUGGCUUGUAUGAAAGACAUAUAAUCUGUAGUAAAAGUGUGGUGUAGACGUAAAAAUACUAGUCUAAAGAUAUAGAGAAAAGAGUUUGAAUACAAAGAAAUAGAAUUUAUUUAAAAAAGACGUUAAGGCUUACUGUGCUUGGUUUAAUGUAAUAGAAGAAAAAAUAGAAUAAAGUAAUUGUAAUGGAACGAAUAAUCUAUAGAUUUAUAAAACGAUGGUACAUGUACUACAACAGUAGUGAAUAGGAAAAUUCUGAAGUACAAGAGAAAAUAUAGAACAAAAAGAGCAGUGGUGAUGAUUGAAAUGAAAACGUUAGUUGUCAAGUGUAAUCUUCAUGCCAAGUUGUAGCUAAGCAACUCGUGUACAACACAAUGGUAGAAGACUGAGUAGUAACCUUAAACAUAGAAGAACCUGACUAAAGGAUAUAAUAAGAUCCAGCUUGUAAAUAUAAUUGUUAAGAACUUGUGACCAAAAGUAAGCUAGCCAUAUAAAUCAGUAGUCUUCAAUUAGUUGGAAAAUUUUCAUAUCCUUAAUGAUAAUUAUGUAAAUGUGAAAAUCACUGCUUCUAACAAAAGCACUAAUCUGUCAAAAAAAAAAGACAUUACAUGUGCUGAAAUUAAAAAUCCAGUGAUAUCAUAAGAAAUGCAUUCCAAAAGUGACAGAAAUGUUAAAUCAAGCAUUUAAGUGGUAUAAGCAUAGGUACUUGCCCCAAGGAGACUACAGAAAAAUAUCUUGGAAGAUCAGAACCUACAACUAUAAACCUCAGAAAAUUUCAAAAGAUGGGAUCUUAACAGUGGGUCAGUUACAUGUAGUGUACAAGGACAUAAUGAAAUAAGAUAUUUUGCAGCAAGUUAUAAUGUGUCUGUAAUGAGUGAGGAAGGUUACAUGUAUCGAAAAUUAGCCAAUUAUAAGCAUAUUUGAGAAGGAAUUCUGUGUUUACAUGUAAAGCCAGAAGAAUGGAAUAAUUUGUUAUGUAUACAAUAUUGUAAUUUAUUUAUUAAUUAAAGUAAAUAUUUUUCUAAACAAAUAUAAACUUAAUAUAGACUUAAUAGGUAUAUCUUGUACUUAGACCAUUUUUAAGGUUUGGGGAAAUUGAGGGCUGUAGGUUUCUCACUGCUAUAAUAUAAUAAAGUUUAAAAAUUACAGAUAUGAAAAUGUUUGCACUACUUUAACAUGUUAAUCUUUCUUGUGCUAGGCUCAUCAUCUCAUUUUAACUUUAAAUUCUUUUUUCACAACUUCUUAUGUUUCCGAAAAUCUUGGGUAGCAAAAUAAUAAUAAAGUAUUUCCAUUAUCUACAUAAA